GGGAAUGUGGCUUAGUGGUAGAGUGCUUGCCUAGUAUGCAUGAGGCCCUGGGUUCAAUUCCUCAGUACCA
rnacentral:tRNA from 1 species